ACAACUAGAGAAGAGUGGAGUGUGAAGUCUGUCUUGCUGACCUGAAGUGCAAUAGAAGCUCAAAGGAAAUGUGGAUUUGGACAACAGAGAAGACUUCUUAGAGGAGGCACUUAUUUUGACAUCACCACUGCCCCCACAAAAAAAAAAAAAAAAUGUGAGAACUGACUAUAUCAUGGGUACCUAGACCAUCUGCAGAAAGGACUGAGACUGGAAGCAGAAAACACAUUGUCCAUACAGAGCAAAGUGCCAGACAACAGCUCACUCUAGUAAAGGGCGGUAAAUGCCUCAUGAGAUGCUCUCCUCAGUUCAAAACUAGUGUCAUAUCUCAAGCUUGUGCCUAUAGGAAAAUCCUACACUGGUAUCAGUUAUGAAGUUGCAUCUGACUUAUGUGCCUGGUUUGAUGACUUCGACUAUCUUUUCAUGACUCAUAAAUUAUGGAGGCGAUCCCGAGGCGCUGGAAGUGAAGCCAGGCGUGUUGGGUAGCGGAGCAGGUUUUCAGCAGCCCGGACGCGCUGCCCCCGCCGCCCACCCGCACGCCCUUGCUCCCCAUCCCCCCGUUCCGGGGCCUGGCUGCUUUCCGCUGUGCUGCCGGGACUGGAGCACCGACUGAGCUCUCCGCCAGCACCCCCCACCGCCCCGACUCACGCAGGUGCCUGCCCGGCCAGGGCA